rnacentral:rRNA from 1 species
GAUCAUGCUCAGGAUGAACGCUAGCGACAGGCUUAACACAUGCAAGUCGAGGGGCAGCACAGGUAGCAAUACCGGGUGGCGACCGGCGCACGGGUGAGUAACGCGUAUGCAACUUACCUAUCAGAGGGGGAUAACCCGGCGAAAGUCGGACUAAUACCGCAUGAAGCAGGGGCCCCGCAUGGGGAUAUUUGCUAAAGAUUCAUCGCUGAUAGAUAGGCAUGCGUUCCAUUAGG